rnacentral:rRNA from 1 species
UACCAGCACCCCGAGUGGUCGGGACGUUUUAUUGGGCCUAAAGCAUCCGUGCCGGUUCUACAAGUCUUCCGUUAAAUCCAGCUGCUUAACAGAUGGGCUGCGGAAGAUACUAUGGAGCUAGGAGGCGGGAGAGGCAAGCGGUACUCGAUGGGUAGGGGUAAAAUCCGUUGAUCCAUUGAAGACCACCAGUGGCGAAGGCGGCUUGCCAGAACGCCG